CCCUUAGAUGUUCUGGGCCGCACGCGCGCUACACUGACGAAUGCAACGAGCUUAUAACCUUGGCCGAAAGGUCUGGGUAAUCUCCAAAUUUCGUCGUGAUGGGGAUAGAUUAUUGCAAUUAUUAAUCUUCAACGAGGAAUGCCUAGUAAGCGCAAGUCAUAAGCUUGCGUUGAUUACGUCCCUGCCCUUUGUACACACCGCCCGUCGCUACUACCGAUUGAACGUUUUAGUGAGGUAUUUGGACUGGACCUUCGGAGGUUCGCGCCUCCGUUGCUGUUCGGGAAGACUCCCAAACUUGAGCGUUUAGAGGAAGUAAAAGUCGUAACA
rnacentral:rRNA from 1 species